UACGGAGGAUGCGAGCGUUAAUCGGAAUUACUGGGCGUAAAGGGCACGCAGGCGGAUGUUUAAGUCAGGUGUGAAAUCCCCGGGCUCAACCUGGGAAUUGCAUUUCAUACUGGGUGUCUAGAGUACUUUAGAGGGGGGUAGAAUUCCACGUGUAGCGGUGAAAUGCGUAGAUAUGGGGAGGAAUACCGAUGGCGAAGGCAGCCCCUUGGAAAUGUACUGACGCUGAUGUGCGAAAGCGUGGGGAGCAAACAGG
rnacentral:rRNA from 1 species